AGAGUCUCACUCUUGUCACCAGGCUGGAGUGCAUUGGCGCGAUCUUGGCUCACUGCAUCCUCUGCCUCCCGGGUUCAAGCGAUUCUCCUGCCUCAGCCUCCCGAGUAGCUGGAAUUAUCGGUGCUGGACAAAGAUCAGACCAGAUGUGAGGAAUGCUGAAAAUGAAAGGCCUCAAGAGGCAUUGUACGCUUCUGCUUUCCCUCUUGAAACUCUGCCAUGCCAUGAAAACAAGUCUGCACUAGCCUGCUGGAGGAAGAAAAACCAUGUGGAUGGGAGCCUGGCUAUUCCAGCACAUUCCCAAA
rnacentral:lncRNA from 1 species